rnacentral:rRNA from 1 species
UACGUAGGGACCAAGCGUUGUUCGGAUUUACUGGGCGUAAAGGGCGCGAGUAGGCGGCAAGUUCAAGUCAGCUGUGAAAAUCUCCGGGCUUAACUCGGAACGGUCAGCUGAUACUGCUUGCUAGAGUGCAGAAGGGCAAUCGGAAUUCUGGUGUAGCGGUGAAAUGCGUGAGAUAUCCGGAGGAACACCGGUGGCGAAGGCGGCUUCCUGGACCGACACUGACGCUGAGGCGCGAAGGCGUGGGGAGCGAAC